GAUGAACGCUGGCGGCGUGCCUAAUACAUGCAAGUCGAGCGAACAGACGAGGAGCUUGCUCCUCUGACGUUAGCGGCGGACGGGUGAGUAACACGUGGAUAACCUACCUAUAAGACUGGGAUAACUUCGGGAAACCGGAGCUAAUACCGGAUAAUAUAUUGAACCGCAUGGUUCAAUAGUGAAAGACGGUUUUGCUGUCACUUAUAGAUGGAUCCGCGCCGCAUUAGCUAGUUGGUAAGGUAACAGCUUACCAAGGCAACGAUGCGUAGCCGACCUGAGAGGAUGAUCGGCCACACUGGAACUGAGACACGGUCCAGACUCCUACGGGAGGCAGCAGUAGGGAAUCUUCCGCAAUGGGCGCAAGCCUGACGGAGCAACGCCGCGUGAGUGAUGAAGGUCUUCGGAUCGUAAAACUCUGUUAUUAGGAAAGAACAAAUGUGUAAGUAACUAUGCACGUCUUGACGGUACCUAAACAGAAAGCCACGGCUAACUACGUG
rnacentral:rRNA from 1 species